GAUGUGGUGGUUGAUGAGACUUGGAUUUCAAGUUUGCAAGAAAUUGAAGGUGUGUUUAUGUGCUAAUUUGCUUUUUUACUUCUGCAAUUUCACUAUCAGAUGCAGUGAUGUAAAAGAGAGGAAAAUAAACAGUGAGCUUUAGCUUAGUGGUUGUCUUCAGAGCUGUAAGGUUUCAACCCCAAGUCUCAGUAAAAGCCAAAUGAACCGAAAAAGAAAAGAUAGAGGAAAUAACCAUCUUCAUGCUUCUCAGUUGUUUUCUCCAUUGUUCUUCACUUCUUGUAUGCCAACGCAACAUUAUUUCAUUUCUUUCCAGUUUUGGUAUAUGCUUGCAAAAACCUUAGCAGAGGAGGCAACUUGGAGAUUUGUAAAAGAGAAUUCAAUUAACUUGGU
rnacentral:misc_RNA from 1 species